AGUGGAUGGGGAGCAACCUAGUUGUGAGUGUGGAAAGGUAGUGCCAAGAAAAGCUGUAUCAACGAUGAAAAUGGAGUCCGGGUACCCGAAACCGACACAGGUGGGCAAGUAGAGAAUACUAAGGGGCGCGAGGUAACUCUCUCCAAGGAACUCGGCAAAAUGACCCCGUAACUUAGGGAGAAGGGGUGCCACCGAAAGGUGGUCGCAGUGAAGAGGCCCAGGCGACUGUUUAGCAAAAACAUAGGUCUCUGCAAACUCGAAAGAGGAGGUAUAGGGGCUGACGCCUGCCCAGUGCCGGAAGGUUAAAGAAGUUGGUCAGGAGCAAUCUAAAGCUAGCGACUGAAGCCCCGGUGAACGGCGGCCGUAACUAUAACGGUCCUAAGGUAGCGAAAUUCCUUGUCGGGUAAGUUCCGACCCGCACGAAAGGCGUAACGAUCUGGGCGCUGUCUCGGAGAGAGGCUCGGCGAAAUAGGAUUGUCUGUGAAGAUACGGACUACCUGCAUUUGGACAGAAAGACCCUAUGAAGCUUUACUGUAGCUUGGAAUUGUGUUCGGGCUUCCUGUGCGCAGGAUAGGUAGGAGGCGAAGAAGGUAUGCUUGUGGGCAUAUUGGAGCCAACCGUGAGAUACCACUCUCAGGAGGCUAGAAUUCUAACUUAAUUAAGGACAGUUUCAGGUGGGCAGUUUGACUGGGGCGGUCGCCUCCAAAAAGGUAACAGAGGCGUACAAAGGUUCCCUCACACUGGUUGGAAAUCAGUGGUAGAGUGCAAAGGCAGAAGGGAGCUUGACUGCGAGACGGACAAGUCGAGCAGGGUGGAAACACGGUCUUAGUAAUCCGACGGUGCUGUGUGGAAGGGCCGUCGCUCAACGGAUAAAAGUUACUCUAAGGAUAACAGGCUGAUCUCCCCCAAGAGUUCACAUCGACGGGGGAGGUUUGGCACCUCGAUGUCGGCUCAUCGCAACCUGGGGCGGAAGUACGUCCCAAGGGUUGGGCUGUUCGCCCAUUAAAGCGGUACGUGAGCUGGGUUCAGAACGUCGUGAGACAGUUCGGUCCAUAUCCGAUGUAGGCGUGAGAAUAUUGAGAGGAGCCUUCCUUAGUACGAGAGGACCGGGAAGGACGCACCGCUGGUGUACCUGUUAUGAUGCCAAUCGUAAAUGCAGGGUAGCCAAGUGCGGAGAGGAUAACCGCUGAAAGCAUCUAAGUGGGAAGCCCACCUCAAGAUGAGUAUUCUGGUGUAAGGUCACGGGAAGACGACCCGUAGAUAGGCACAAGGUGGAAGUGCAGAGAUGUAUGAAGCCGAAGUGUACUAAUAGACCGUCGGCUUGACC
rnacentral:rRNA from 1 species